AUUUAUAUAAUAUAUUUAGUAUAUUUGACUUCCAAUCAAAAAGUUUAAUGAUUUUAAUAUAAAUA
rnacentral:tRNA from 2 species